UGUAAUACACAAAAACCCAUAAUAUGUUCAACAAACUGCAUAUGAAGAAAGAAGGAAACGAGAAUAGGAUAAAUAGUAAGUGUUAAGUGGCACAUACAGCUUGGCAGAGAUGGAUUCGGAUCUUAAGGGUCAAAUUUGGUAAGACCAUCAGAUUGGUACGACAAAAACUGUUCAUCAAUAGCAGUGUGGUUGUACUUAUUUAGACGCUUAUUUUGGAGUACUUCUUCCCAAACACAGUGCCGAGUAUAAUGAUUUGAGAUGGCAUACUCAGAGCCAGUUUGCCACAAGAAAUGAUCAAUUAUUAACAUUGGAUUGGUUGAGAGCCGCAGUUGCUAUCUAGCCAAAUAGAGAACCUAAAAAUUGCCGCAAGAGGAGAACAAAUUAAUCUUCGGAGGUAGUGGUAUGGUUUGCGUACACUCUACCCUCCCCAGACCCCACUAUGUAGGAAUACGUUGGGUAUAUUCUUGUUGUUGUUGGAGCCAGAUAGACUAAGCAUAAAAGUCCAGCUAGGGAUAUGAAAAAUCACCUAGAAGAAGGAAAGAGGCGAUGCAUCAAAAACUUUGGUACUUUCCCCGUUUUAUGCAUAUCUGUGUAUGGUAAGUUCUUGACGACAACUAAUUUCCACAAUCCAACAAAUCCACCAUCAUCAGGUGUGUUUACUUCUUUUGAGAGCGUCGAAAGAGUUCCCUCAUCAACAAACAUAAUAUGACGACAACUAAUUUCCACAAUCCAACAAAUCCACCAUCAUCAGGUGUGUUUACUUCUUUUGAGAGCGUCGAAAGAGUUCCCUCAUCAACAAACAUAAUAAAACAUACGUUCUUCUUUGAAUACUCACUGAUCUGAAAAGGUAAGGAUCAAUCAAAAGUAAGCACAUGUUGCUAUAUCCUAACCUGCUCUUCGGCUUUCCAAAGAUACCAUCUGACAAAUCUGUAGAAUAUUGCUAAAUGGAGUCACUUAUUAUUAGAGAAAACUGAUGUAUCCGGGAUUCAUGUUUUAGAAAGUCUUUGAUCUUCACGGAGUUAUUCAACAUUUCUGAUUUACAAGUUUCUUAUACAACUGCCAUUUCGGAGAACAAAGAACAGCAAACGGAGUUGAAACUGCAAGGUCAUUAGAAUGAGAAUGAAGAGAAAUGGAGUCUUCCAGCCUUCCAGGUGGUUUAAUAACUCCGAAAUGGAUUAUAAUAAACAAUCUCAACGAACAUCAUUGCAGG
rnacentral:lncRNA from 1 species